AAACCUGUACUUUUCAUUUAAUGCUCCUAUAACUUUGAAAAAAGUUACUUAAUGCAUCUGGGUCUGUUUUCUCAUCUGUAUAAGUGAGAUACAGAUGCCUCAAAGAGCUGCUGUAGAUAUUAAAUGUGGCAUUACAUGUAAUGUGUGUGGAAGCAAAAGGAAGCAGAGGAUGACACAGGAAAGUGAAAAAGGAACGAAACUUCUGGUGGCUCAGGCCCAGGCUGCACGGAUGCUGAAAGCUGACCCUGGCUUUGGAGAAUGGUGCAAGAGCUUAAAGACGUAAAAGGAGGAGCAAGAUGUUCCAAGCAAAGACAGGACUUUGGCAAGGAACAUGAAACUCAAAAUGCCUUCACUUAUUAUAAAAUUGAUGCAUUAUUAUAGGUGAGAAAGAUUUGCAACUGGGAGGACUCAUUGUUCUUUGGAUGGCUGCUGUUUCUUUAAAUUGGGUGAAAAAACUGUACAGUUGCUGAGUCAGAUGAUCUGGCAGCCUCGGAGAUUCAGAGCAAGAAAAUGGUGGCACUCAUAAAAAAAGAAAAGAAAAGAAAGCAAAACAUAAGCUUCCUUAAUACAUCUGCAAAGGGAAGUGUUCAAACACAAGGAAAGCUGCAGUAUGGGAAGGAAACAGUUGAGAGAACAAUUUGAGGCAAAUUCUUCAUCACUGGAAAAACUUCUUAUUCCAUCCUCCAUUCCGUCUUGUACCCCAGAACGAGGAACAAAGAGAAGAAGGCCUUUCAACACUCGCUGGUGGCCAACUGGCGCGGAAGGGAUUGGCUGCCGAGUUUUGGACACUUUCCUCGAAUGAACCUGACCCAUUCCGCUUCACCCCUCCAGAAAAAAGGCCUGGCCAGUUCCAAGCUGGGGAGAUGACCAAGAGACCUCCUCGUCAUUCCUUGCACCCCUCCUGAAUCCGAGAGGCCCCCACUUCGUCCUCCACCUAGUUGGGCCCCAAUCCCGCUCUAGGCAUCAGUCACUGUUAACGCAGAUCACAUCUUACCCGAGGAAACAGUUGGGGUGUGGGGCGAGGCCCGGGGCGGUUAACAACAGAAGGGGUGCAUUCGCGGAGUGGGGUGAUCAGUGGGCUAUGCCUCUAAACUCUUGCUACGGGGUCCUACCCCAGCUGCCAGUUAAAUCUCUGGGAUCCGCAGCGUCUCUAGAAAUUGAGAGGGUGGGGAGAUGGGGUCGAGGAGGGUGGUCGCAGCUAGAAGGUGGGGGAGG